ACGUAAACAAAAACUUGCCCACUGCCCACUGAAGCUAAGCAGGGCUGAGCCUGGUCAGUACCUGGAUGGGAGACCUCCUGGGAAAACUAGGUUGCUGCAUC
rnacentral:rRNA from 1 species